AAUCACAAGAAAAUCUUUGAACUUAAGAUCCAAACAGCGAGUUACCGACUGUCCCUAACGUAAGUGGCAAAAGGGCUUGGUGGUUUGUAUCCGAGACCCAAAUUCGAAUCCUAGUUGAUUCACGUUUCUAGCUAAAUUUAUUUCUACAUGAAAAAAAACAAAGUGGGUAGCAUGCUACUUUUUUCUCUCUAAAAAAAAAAGAAAAAAAUCCAAACAGUGAGUCUAUAGUGACAAAAAUGUCCUACUCUUAUUGUUGUCAUAUGCCAACAAAUAUAAAACAAACUGAAUAUGCCAAAUUAGGACAUGUGUUCAUUAUGUUGAUGUUAGCGACAUAAAAUCAUGCUGUGCCACUUUCAAUGGGCCCACAGUAGGAGAUUUGUCCAUUUUUCUCUAUCUUUCUAAGGCUGCGUUUGGUUCGGGUAUAACUAAGAACUGCUUAUUAUAGAGAUAGGUAUAAGUUUAGGAACUAGAUCAAUUUUGCGUUUGGAUGAAAAUUGGAUUGUUUCUAAGAAUGAGGUAAAUAGUGUUUGCACAGUUAAAUUAAAAUAAAGGGAAUAAGAGUUAUACUUUUAAAUUAAAAUUAUUUUAUCAAAUUAAUUAACAUCAAAAUAUUACAUAAAAAAUAAAUUAAUAUUAAUAAUUAUAAAUAAUAAAUUAAUUAAAUAGUAAUAAAUUAUAAAUAAUUAUAAAUAAUAAAUAAUUAUAAAUUAAAAAUUAAUUAAUAAAAAAUUAAUUAGAUAAUAAAUUAUAAAUAAUAAAUUAUUAAUAAUUAUAAAUUAUAAAUUA
rnacentral:lncRNA from 1 species